ensembl:lncRNA
AGAUGAUUUAUUCAUGACAUAUUUUUACUCGGCAAGGAAUGAGUCAAUAAAGAUGUAGCUACUCAAACUGAAGAGCCCUCUCUUAAACGCUGGGAUUUAUAAACCAUUAAUCUACAAAUAUCUUCACUAUAAUUCAGUUAAAAUAAGAGCCUUGAAAUGACAAAAUACUUUGGCUUUGAGUAAUUCAGUGGUGCAAUUUAAGAAGGUCUUGUGGCCACAAUGAAUGCUCAAUAAUCAGAAUAUAAUUAAUAUCAAAUGAAAAAUGAGAAACAGCAAUGUACCAGUCUAGGUCUAGUGAUGAAUGAGAGAUUAAGAGACCAGACAUCAUGGCCACUGUCCAGAGAGAGACCAGAGACCACCGCCACUGUUAAGAGAGACCAGAGACACCAUCCUGAGAGAGACCAGAGACACUACUGCAACCAGAGACAGAGACACCACCGCCACCGUCUAGAGAGACCAGAGACCACCGCCAACGUCCAGAGAGAGACCAGACACUACUGCGACUGCCCAAAGACACCAGUGACUCUACCGCCACCAUCCAGAGAGAGACAAGAGACCACCGCCACCGUCCAGAGAAAAAAUAGAGACACCUCCGCUGCCGUCUAGAGAGAUCACCGCAACCUUCCAGAGACACCACCGCGACCGUCCAGAGACCAACCAGAGACACCACCGCGACCGUCCAGAGAGAGACCAGUAACACCACCGCCACCGCCCAGAGAGACCAGAGACCACCGCCACCGUCCAGAGAGAGACCAGAGACACCACCGUCCAGAGAGACCAGAGACACCACCACCACCGUCCAGAGAGACCAGAGACACCACAGCCACCGUCCAGAGAGACCAGAGACACCACCGCCACCGUCCAGAGAGACCAGAGACACCACCGCCACCGUCCAGAGAGACCAGAGACACCACCGCACCGUCCAGAGAGACCAGAGACACCACCGCGACCGUCCAGAGACCAGAGACACCACCGCGACCGUCCAGUGAGACACCAGUAACACCACCGCCACCGUCCAGAGAGAGACCAGAGACUCCACCGCCACCGUCCAGAGAGACCAGUAACACC